rnacentral:lncRNA from 1 species
ACCCGCCGACGCCUAUCAUUACUCCCCACUGCGCUCCCGCCUUGCUGCACCGGCGGCUCCUCGCCGCAGGCAUGCCUCGCAUACCCGGCGCGCCAACUGCUCCUCGGCACCUCCUACAGGCCCACCAUGGCGACGGCGCAAGGAUUUGGGUCGAGGAGAGAGAUUACGGGAUGAGGACCCAUAUUUGGGUUCCCUCUCUCCUUCUACCAAAAAUAGGUAUCCUCUUUGUAUAUUCUGUUGGAGGGGUUUUUUUUACUAUGCAAGACCCAAAAUGGGUUUGGGUAGUGGUAUGCAUGACUUGUUGGAGAUAGUCUUAGAGAGCAGAUCAAAAUUGUUGGAAGUUCGUAUUUUUUAUUUUUAUUUAUUUAUUAUAAGAAUGAGUAUAUAUACUAAAGGGAAUAUUUUUACUUUGGGAAUGUAUAAACGUUAAAAUUUUGAUUAUAGUCACUGUUUUUUUCGCGUGGGUGUGUCUGCCCCUCCUGCUAAAGUUACGUAAGGCCAUGUUUAGUUGUUGAAAGGAAAAAUUUCACAACACUGUAGCACUUUCGUUUGUUCGUGUAAUUAUUGUCUAACCAUGGACUAAUUAGGCUCAAAAGAUUCAUCUCGUAAAUUCCGACCAAACUGUGCAAUUAGUUUUUAUUUUCGUCUAUAUUUAAUACUCCAUGCAUGCGUCUAAAGAUUCGAUGUGAUGGAGAAUCUUAAAAAAUUUUAGAUUUUAGGGUGGAAGUAAACAAGACCUAACUCUACCCCUAGUUGUAAGACUACAACCAACUCAUACAAGUGUUUCAAGAAAUUCUGUUAGAGAAGAAAGUGAUCAUGUAUUAACGAUGAGAUAUGUCUUAGUAGUUAACAACUAGUCAACUAUAUAAGUAGGUUGAUAAAUAAAGUGUAAAUGUGCAUAUAACCAUCAAUAGAUUCUAUUAUUAAUCAUGCUUUUAGACCUCCGAAGGUUUUCAUGUUGAAAAAAUUUAGGGAAGGGAGAACAAAAAGAAAACUAGACGGGCGUACAUAAUCCACCUGGCUAAACACGCCACACCAGAAAAAAAAGGGGGGGGCAUGGACAUUGUGGGCAAUAGACCAACACUUUAUAUAUGUGCCUUUCUCUCUCAUAGUUAAAAAUUAUCAGUCAAAUCAGAUAGUUAUUCAGUACUAUUUUUCUCUUAUAAUAAACCAGCAAAUAUUACUUUUAGUCAUAACUCUUCAACGAAGCGAACAAGGUAGGUACCCUAUCCUUGAUUCUUCUUUGACAAUUCUCAUAUUUAGGUGAUAGAGAUGGAGAGGAGUUGGUCCUAUUAGGUUACGAGCGGUUUUGAAGGCGGUUUUAUCUUUUUUUAAAAAAAAUUAUUUUGGCUAAAUAUUUGGAAAAUUAUAGUAAAUCACAUAAAAUUCAUAAAAUAGUAAAUCUGAUUUUGUUGGACUCUAGAUAAGUACAUCUACAUAGUGAACAUAUAAUAUAGUAUUCUUUAGUACAAAGUUUUUGUUGUAACUUUAUAUCUGUGUUUUUUUAAUUAAUUAGAAUAAUUUAUAGCUACAGUUUCUAUGAUCCUAUUGUGGUGAUUUUUUUAUGUUGGGUUAGCUAUUGUAUGUCUAAACUAUGAUAAAAAAAUUCAUACUCAUUAGAUUAUGUAUAACUUAGUUAUAAAUUUAUUAUGGUUUAAUAAACAUAAACCUAAAUAAAUCUAUAACUAAGUAAUACAUGAUCCAAUAGUAUGAAAUUUUUACUACAAUUCAAACAUAGAAUAAUUAGGUCACCAUAUAAAUUCCAUCAAAAUUGGACCAUAGAAACUGUAGUUAUAAUUAUUCUAAUUAACUAGAGAAAAGUAUAGAUCUAAAGUUGCAGCAAAAACUUUGUACUAAAGCAUAUCAUAUUAUAUAUUCAAUGUGUAGAUCUACUCAUCUGAAGUCCAAUAAAAUUAAAAUUUCUAUUUUAUAAUCUUUGUGUGAUUUACUAUGAUUUUUCAAAAAAAUUAUCCGAAAUAAAUAAAAAUAAAAGAACAAAGCCACUUUUAAAACAAGUCAGAGAUGUAAUAUGCACGGUUUUAAAAGUUGAGGGAUGUAUUUUGUCCGAUUUUGGAGUUUAGGAAUGAAAAACAGACUUUUAUGAAAGUUGAAGGACCUAGAGUGGACUUUUUCAUUUUUUUUCUUUUGCAUAGACCAGUGCCUUUCAUCCAUAUAAUUUUGUGAAUUUUAUUUAACAUUUUAUAGAUCCAAUAAAUAAUUCACUACCCUGUUUUUGUAUUUAAAUAAAUUAUUGAUGACAUAUAUGAACUGACAUAUCAAGAAUUCAAUAAAUACUUUCAUUGUACUUGAAAUAGUUUUUAUAAAUAUAUUAUAUUUACUAGUAUGGUAUAAGAAAUAUUUUCAGAUACAUAACUCCCUUGAUUAUACAGGAUGGAGUACUUUAUCCUCUAAACUAUAAAACCGGAUUUUCUAACCCUUGAACUUUCUAAAAUUGGUCAAAUAACCCCCUCAAGUGGUUUUGGGUGGUGGUUUUGAUAUAGUGACGGUGGUUUUGUUUUUUUUUCCUUUUUAUUUAUUUUGGCUAAGUCUUUGAAAAAUCAUACAGAAAUCUCAUUUUGUUGAACUCCAUAUGAGUAGAUCUAUAGUGAACAUAUAAUACAAUAUGCUUUAGUAUUAAUUUGUUGUUGUAGCUUUAGACAUAUAUAUUAUUCUAAUUAAUUAUAAAAAAGUAUAGAUCUAAGCUACAAUAAAAAUGUUGUACUAAAGCAUACCAUAUUAUAUAUUCGCUGUGUAGAUCUACUCAUGUAGAGUCUAAUAAAAUUAGUUUUUCAUAGUAUAUUUUUUAGUGAUUUACUAUGGUUUUUUAAAGAUUUAGUGGAAAUAAAUAAAUUAAUUAAUAAAGACAAAACCACAAUCACGAUAGCAAAAACAUCAUCCAAAACUGCUCGAGGGGAUUAUUUGAUCGAUUUUAGAAAUUUUAAAGAUCCACACUAUAUAGUUGAGAGGGUUACGUAGACUUUUCCCCUCUAACUAUGGGAGGUGGACUACUUAACAUACUCAACUUUCAAACCGGACGUUUUACCCUAAACUUUCUAAAGCCCACACUUCCGGCCUUUAAUCAUAAUUGAAGGGACUACAUGACCAAUAGUAGGAGGGCGACGAAUAAUACAGUAAGUACACCGGUAGAGGGUUUCAAAAUAGCACCCAAAUAGAACAAAGCAUGAAUGAUGGUAAGCUUGUAGACGCAUAUAAUUAGGAAGAUUUUGCCCCCUCUUUUUUUGUUUAGCAUUUCAUCGAACAACAGAAAGAGAAAAUGCAGCAAGGAAAAAGAGAACAAGGAUUGAGAGCCUUACUGUGUAUGGGGAUGCUAGCAUCGCCAAUGGUGUGGAACAUGAUGCGGUCACCAGCCAGGCAAGUGAUGCUGAGCCAGACCACGACGCGGUCAACAACUCAACAUGAAUCAAGCUAUUCCAGGACCCAAGAGAAGCGGCCGAGCGUGAUGCGCCAAUGUGCGACUUGGUGGACAUGGGUAGGCAUGAACCUAGGCUAGACACAGUUGCGCCUGUGUAUUCAUGCUAUGUUGUAUAAAUACCAGGGAGAGAAGGGAGGACAACUAUUAUCCAAACAUAGUCAAUACAAUCCUUCCUCUGCUUUAUUACGUGCUCGUGUUUCCUACUA